GAGAGAGGAGGUCCCUCCAGUCCUUCAACACCAGAUACUACAACUGGCCCUUGACCUGCCGGCCAGCAGAUUCUCCUGGUUCAGAGUUCAGGAUCAUGUGGAGACAGGCUCUGGGGAGAUGUCUGUGUUCUUCUUGCUCCUCAAGAUGUUUGUGAGCAGCACCAACAGCCACCUGAAGAUCUCCACCAAGAAACUGGUGGUGAAGGUGCUGAAGGACAGUGGAGUGUUUGAGCACACCUGGUCUGAGCUGGAGCUGUGGCUGAACCACCUGGACAGACUACAAACC